CCUCCCCGCGGAGGCGUGGGAAAGUGCCGCGAGGGAAGCUGGGAUACUCCCGCCGUCCGCCAUCAUCCGGCCGUCCUAGAAGGCGGUAGUGUCCGUGGGUCGGAGCAAUCUUGAGCCAUGAAGCUGAUAACCAGAGCCGGGUCCCUCGCGAGAUUUUAUUCCCUUAGAGUUGCCCCCAAAGUAAAAGCCACAGCUGCCCCUGCGGGAGUGCCUCCACAUCCUGAAGACCUUGAGUUCACCAGAUUACCAAAUGGCUUAGUGAUUGCUUCUCUUGAAAACUAUGCUCCUGCUUCAAGAAUUGGUUUGUUCAUUAAAGCAGGCAGCAGAUACGAGGACUCCAACAAUUUAGGAACCUCUCAUUUGCUUCGUCUUGCAUCAGGUUUGACUACGAAAGGAGCUUCAUCUUUCAAGAUAACCCGUGGAAUUGAAGCAGUUGGUGGUAAAUUAAGUGUGACUGCAACAAGGGAGAGCAUGGCUUACACUGUGGAGUGCCUGCGGGAUGAUGUUGAUAUUCUAAUGGAGUUCCUGCUCAACGUCACUGCAGCACCAGAAUUUCGUCGUUGGGAGGUGGCUGCCCUUCAGUCUCAGCUGAGGAUUGACAAAACCGUGGCUUUUCAGAAUCCACAGGCUCAUGUCAUUGAAAAUUUGCAUGCUGCAGCUUACCGAAAUACCUUGGCUAACUCCUUAUAUUGUCCUGAUUAUAGGAUUGGAAAAGUGACACCAGACGAGUUACAUCACUACGUUCAGAACCAUUUUACAAGUGCAAGAAUGGCUUUGAUUGGACUUGGUGUGAGUCAUCCUGUUCUAAAGCAAGUUGCUGAACGAUUUCUCAAUGUGAGAGGCGGCCUUGGUUUAUCUGGUGCAAAGGCCAAAUACCGUGGAGGUGAAAUCCGAGAACAGAAUGGAGACAGUCUCGUCCAUGCUGCCCUGGUAGCAGAAAGCACUGCUGCAGCAAGUGCAGAAGCAAAUGCAUUCAGUGUUCUCCAGCACGUCCUCGGUGCCGGGCCACACGUUAAGAGGGGCAGCAACGCCACCAGCUCACUCUACCAGGCUAUUGCCAAGGGAACCCACCAGCCAUUUGAUGUUUCUGCUUUUAAUGCCAGUUACUCAGAUUCUGGACUCUUCGGGAUUUACACUAUCUCACAAGCAGCAGCUGCUGGAGAUGUUAUCAAGGCUGCCUAUAACCAAGUCAAAACAAUUGCUCAAGGAAACCUUUCUAACACAGAUGUCCAAACUGCCAAGAACAAGCUGAAAGCUAGCUACCUAAUGUCUGUGGAGUCUUCUGAGAGUUUCCUGGAUGAAAUUGGGUCCCAGGCUCUAGUUGCUGGUUCCUACGUUCCGCCAUCCACAGUCCUUCAGCAGAUUGACGCAGUAGCUGACGCUGAUGUCAUAAAUGCUGCAAAGAAGUUUGUUUCUGGCCGGAAGUCAAUGGCAGCAAGCGGCAAUUUGGGGCAUACACCUUUUGUUGAUGAGUUGUAAUACUGAAACACAUGUUACAGGAAAGAGCUGAACAUUUUCUCAACCCAUAGCAGCAAACACAUGGAAGUCAAAAAUCUCUAAUGUAAUAUUUAUCUUUUUUCCAAAAUAUUGUAAAGCAUAAAUGCAGGUUGACCCUUGUCCUCAGCUUGGGCAUAAUCUUCCAGCCAAAAUGCAUCUGAGGAGGAGGCCGAGGAGGACGAGGAGCUUUUGUCAUGCUUCACCAUUGUCCAGUAAGGAGAAGGGGCUCUCACUUCUUUCUUGUGAUCUUGGUGAAUCACCACAUCACAGUGAAUGUCUUCUCCCACACGCAUAGUAUGGUUCUUCUUUUUAUAUCCAUGCCAUUCUCUGGAGAUAGACAUCGGUCUCCUUGCAGCAUGAUGCCCGGUGGACCGUGGAUAUUUAUAGUACUUAAGCUUUUUAUCUAAAACUACAUCUUCUUUGUCAUCGCUGCUUGUGGAGUCAUCUUUUGCCUGCUCAGUUUUCUUUGUUGUGCUGAAAUGAAAAGAACAGUGAAUGAAAUGGAUUCUUAAUGUCUGAACAUUCAUUAUCACCCAACGAGAUAUCUUAUAACCUGCUUUGUUUCAUAAAAUAAAGGAUACGGUUCAGCUUUA